rnacentral:rRNA from 1 species
AAUCAACGCUGGCGGCGUGCCUAACACAUGCAAGUCGAACGAGAAAGUGGAGCAAUCCACAAGUAAAGUGGCGCACGGGUGAGUAACACGUGACUAACCUACCCUUGAGUGGGGGAUAACCUAGGGAAACCUGGGCUAAUACCGCAUAAUACCUAUGGGUCAAAGGAGCAAUUCGCUUUUGGAGGGGGUCGCGGCAGAUUAGUUAGUUGGCAGGGUAAUGGCCUACCAAGACGAUGAUCUGUAUCCGGCCUGAGAGGGCGCACGGACACACUGGAACUGAAACACGGUCCAGACUCCUACGGGAGGCAGCAGUGGGGAAUUUUGCGCAAUGGGGGAAACCCUGACGCAGCAACGCCGCGUGGAGGAUGAAGACCCUUGGGUCGUAAACUCCUUUCGAUCGGGACGAUAUUGACGGUACCGGAAGAAGAAGCCCCGGCUAACUUCGUGCCAGCCGCCGCCGUAAU